GCAUUGGUGACAAUGCUUCUGAAGGGGGACAUCCGAACAUCAGAUACUGCAAAGGCACGGGAAGACGAACAGGAAUCGGGUAUAAGGCGUAUGCGUCGGGACGAGUCUGCACAACAAGAUAAAGUCCUCUAUCCAUUAUAAGGCGUAUCCGUAAACCCGGCAUUCACGUGCUGAAAGACAUGUGU
rfam:Desulfocapsa sulfexigens DSM 10523, complete genome.